rnacentral:rRNA from 1 species
GAUGAACGCUGGCGGCGUGCUUAAUACAUGCAAGUUCGAACGCGAGAAGAGGGAGCUUGCUCCCUCGGAUCGAGUGGCGGACGGGUGAGUAACACGUAGGCAACCUGCCCAUCAGCCGGGGAUAACUACGGGAAACCGUAGCUAAUACCGGAUAAACCUGACUGUCGAUGACGGUCAGUUGAAAGACGGCCUUUGGCUGUCGCUGAUGGAUGGGCCUGCGGCGCAUUAGCUAGUUGGUGGGGUAAGGGCCUACCAAGGCGACGAUGCGUAGCCGACCUGAGAGGGUGAUCGGCCACACUGGGACUGAGACACGGCCCAGACUCCUACGGGAGGCAGCAGUAGGGAAUCUUCCGCAAUGGACGCAAGUCUGACGGAGCAACGCCGCGUGAGUGAAGAAGGGUUUCGGCUCGUAAAACUCUGUUGUUAAGGAAGAAUGACAGGUAGAGUAACUGCUAUCUGUGUGACGGUACU